rnacentral:rRNA from 1 species
CGGGUUGUAAAGCUCUUUUGUCAGGGAAGAAACGGUGACUACUAAUACUGGUUGCUAAUGAUGGUACCUGAAGAAUAAGCACCGGCUAACUACGUGC